UACAUUAAGGUGUAUGAUGCACGUUAGUUUUUGAUACUAAAGGUGAUAGUUUAAUUCUAUCUUAUGUAAUAUCUAA
rnacentral:tRNA from 1 species